rnacentral:rRNA from 1 species
GCACGGGUGAGUAAUAUAUAGCUAAUCUGCCCCUUGCUGGAGGACAACAGUUAGAAAUGACUGCUAAUACUCCAUACUCCUUUUUACCAUAAGAUAAAUCGGGAAAGAAUUUCGGCAAGGGAUGAGACUAUAUCGUAUCAGCUAGUCGGUGGGGUAACGGCCUACCGAGGCUAUGACGCGUAACUGGUCUGAGAGGAUGAUCAGUCACAUUGGAACUGAGACACGGUCCAAACUCC